AUGGCCGCGACGACGUGGCGCGACGGGCAUCGGCUGCUCCGCAUCCACUCUCCACCACUCCUCCAUUCCCUUCCCAGCCCAAACCCAAAACCACGGGCAUCUCCGCCACGCCACGCCAAAGCCUACGCGCGCGAAAUGGCGACGUCGACCAGCCUCGCCGCCGCGCUGCCCUCGCGGCUCACCUCCCCGGGCCGCCGCGCCGCCCUCUCCUGGGCCACCUCCUGCGCGCGCCCUCACCCAGCCCGUGCCGUCUCAUCGGGCUGCAGGCUGGUCGUGACCUGCAACGCGCAGGCGGCGGCCCCCAUCAGCAUUGGGCAGGGGACGCCCGUCAGGCCGACGAGCGUGCUGGUGGUCGGCGCCACGGGGACCCUGGGACGGCAGGUGGUCAGGAGGGCGCUGGACGAGGGCUACGACGUCAGGUGCCUCGUCAGGCCCCGCCCGGCGCCCGCCGACUUCCUCCGGGACUGGGGCGCCACCGUGGUCAAUGCCGACCUCAGCAAGCCAGAGACGAUACCCGCUACCCUUGUUGGCGUUCAUACGGUCAUUGAUUGCGCCACGGGGCGGCCGGAAGAGCCCAUUCGAACGGUAGACUGGGAAGGAAAGGUUGCUCUAAUCCAGUGUGCUAAGGCCAUGGGGAUUCAGAAGUAUGUCUUCUACUCCAUUCACAACUGCGACAAGCAUCCUGAGGUCCCCUUGAUGGAGAUCAAGUAUUGUACAGAGAGGUUUAUUCAGGACACAGGUCUGGAUUACACCAUCAUCCGAUUGUGCGGUUUCAUGCAGGGCCUAAUUGGGCAAUAUGCGGUGCCUAUACUAGAAGAGAAGUCAGUUUGGGGAACUGAUGCUCCGACUCGGAUUGCAUACAUGGACACCCAGGACGUCGCUCGCCUGACAUUUGUUGCUUUGCGCAAUGAGAAGGCCAGCAAAAAACUCCUAACAUUUGCUGGACCACGUGCUUGGACAACUCAGGAGGUUAUUACAUUAUGUGAGAGACUGGCUGGGCAAGAUGCCAAUGUAACUACUGUCCCUGUUGCAGUCUUGAGAUUUACUCGUCAAUUAACACGGUUCUUCCAGUGGACAAACGAUGUGGCUGAUAGGCUGGCAUUUUCAGAGGUGCUCUCCAGCGACACUGUUUUCUCAGCUCCAAUGAAUGAGACAUACCAGCUUCUUGGGGUGGAGGCAAAGGAUAUCCUCACCUUAGAGAAAUAUUUACAAGAUUAUUUCUCCAACAUAUUAAAGAAAUUGAAGGGUCUCAAGGCACAGUCCAAGCAAAGUGACAUAUACUUUUAA
rnacentral:rRNA from 1 species